rnacentral:rRNA from 1 species
UACAGAGGUCUCAAGCGUUGUUCGGAUUCAUUGGGCGUAAAGGGUGCGUAGGUGGCGCCGUAAGUCGGGUGUGAAAUUUCGGAGCUUAACUCCGAAACUGCAUUCGAUACUGCGGUGCUUGAGGACUGGAGAGGAGACUGGAAUUCAUGGUGUAGCAGUGAAAUGCGUAGAGAUCAUGAGGAAGACCAGUGGCGAAGGCGGGUCUCUGGACAGUUCCUGACGCUGAGACGCGAAAGCGUGGGGAGCAAACAGG